rnacentral:rRNA from 1 species
AUUGAACGCUGGCGGCAUGCCUUACACAUGCAAGUCGAACGGUAACGGGCCUUCGGGUGCCGACGAGUGGCGAACGGGUGAGUAAUACAUCGGAACGUGCCCGAUCGUGGGGGAUAACGAGGCGAAAGCUUUGCUAAUACCGCAUACGAUCUACGGAUGAAAGCAGGGGACCGCAAGGCCUUGCGCGGACGGAGCGGCCGAUGGCAGAUUAGGUAGUUGGUGGGAUAAAAGCUUACCAAGCCGACGAUCUGUAGCUGGUCUGAGAGGAUGAUCAGCCACACUGGGACUGAGACACGGCCCAGACUCCUACGGGAGGCUGCAGUGGGGAAUUUUGGACAAUGGGCGCAAGCCUGAUCCAGCCAUGCCGCGUGCAGGAUGAAGGCCUUCGGGUUGUAAACUGCUUUUGUACGGAACGAAAAGCCUUCUUUUAAUACAGGAGGGUCAUGACGGUACCGUAAGAAUAAGCACCGGCUAACUACGUG